AAUAAGGUGCCUGAAUUUAAAGGAUUAUUUUGAUGUAAUAGAUUAUGUGAUUAAAUCACUCUUGUUA
rnacentral:tRNA from 1 species